rnacentral:lncRNA from 1 species
UGAACAGAACUGGAGAUCUUUACUAGAUAAAAAAUUAGAUUAUGCUAAACACAAUUUGUAUUGUAAUUGUACCCACCAUCCAAAGACUCCAUGAUUGGAUAAUAAGAAUCUCACAAGCAAGGCCCACCUUUAGCAUGGCCCAAGCCCAGCAAUCUCUCUCCACUCUCUUGUCUACCCCGCCCUUCAAAACCUCCUCUCACUCCCUCCUCACUCUCAGAGACACAAUCUCUCUCUCCUUCCUUCUCUCUCUCUCUCUCUGCCCUCCGCAAUGGAGCCGUGGCUUGACGACUUAGCCGACGACCUCCAAAGCCUGAGCUUCACGUCCACCACAACCACCAACACCAACACUAC